rnacentral:snRNA from 1 species
AGAGAAUUGGUUGAACCCAGGAGGUGGAGGUUGCAGUGAGCCAAGCUCAUGCCACUGUACUCCAGCCUGGGUGACAGAG